rnacentral:rRNA from 1 species
GACGAACGCUGGCGGCGUGCUUAACACAUGCAAGUCGAACGGUAGGGCCCUUCGGGGUACACGAGUGGCGAACGGGUGAGUAACACGUGGGUGAUCUGCCCUGCACUUCGGGAUAAGCCUGGGAAACUGGGUCUAAUACCGGAUAGGACCACUGCCUGCAUGGGUGGUGGAAAGCUUUUGCGGUGUGGGAUGGGCCCGCGGCCUAUCAGCUUGGUGGUGGGGUGAUGGCCUACCAAGGCGACGACGGGUAGCCGGCCUGAGAGGGUGACCGGCCACACUGGGACUGAGAUACGGCCCAGACUCCUACGGGAGGCAGCAGUGGGGAAUAUUGCACAAUGGGCGCAAGCCUGAUGCAGCGACGCCGCGUGAGGGAUGACGGCCUUCGGGUUGUAAACCUCUUUCAGCACCGACGAAGCGCGAGUGACGGUAGGUGCAGAAGAAGGACCGGCCAACUACGUGCCAGCCGCCGCGGUAA